AUAAGCGCCGGUAAGGUGAUAUGAACCGUUAUAACCGGCGAUACCCGAAUGGGGAAACCCAGUGUGAUUCGUCACACUAUCAUUAACUGAAUCCAUAGGUUAAUGAGGCGAACCGGGGGAACUGAAACAUCUAAGUACCCCGAGGAAAAGAAAUCAACCGAGAUUCCCCCAGUAGCGGCGAGCGAACGGGGAGGAGCCCAGAGCCUGAAUCAGCAUGUGUGUUAGUGGAAGCGUCUGGAAAGGCGCGCGAUACAGGGUGACAGCCCCGUACACAAAAGCGCAUGUGCUGUGAGCUCGAUGAGUAGGGCGGGACACGUGGUAUCCUGUCUGAAUAUGGGGGGACCAUCCUCCAAGGCUAAAUACUCCUGACUGACCGAUAGUGAACCAGUACCGUGAGGGAAAGGCGAAAAGAACCCCGGCGAGGGGAGUGAAAAAGAACCUGAAACCGUGUACGUACAAGCAGUGGGAGCACCCUUUGGGUGUGACUGCGUACCUUUUGUAUAAUGGGUCAGCGACUUAUAUUCUGUAGCAAGGUUAACCGAAUAGGGGAGC
rnacentral:rRNA from 2 species